rnacentral:tRNA from 6 species
AAAAUCCGUUGGUCUUUGCAGACCGUGAGGGUUCAAGUCCCUCUACCCCCA